UACGUAGGUGGCAAGCGAUACUCGGAAUCACUAGGCGUAAAGCGCAGGUAGGCGGUUUGGUAAGUCUUUUGUGAAAGCUCCCGGCUCAACUGGGAGAGGUCAAGGGAAACUACCGGACUAGAGUGUGGUAGGGGAUACUGGAAUUCCUGGUGUAGCGGUGAAAUUCGUAGAUAUCAGGAGGAACACCAGUGGCGAAGGCGGCUUCCUGGACACCAACUGACGCUGAGACGCGAAAGCGUGGGGAGCAAACAGG
rnacentral:rRNA from 1 species